GCCCUGAAGCGGAAACCGCCCAAACACCCGUUCAGACGGC
rfam:Neisseria meningitidis H44/76, complete genome.